rnacentral:rRNA from 1 species
AACGAACGCUGGCGGCAUGCCUAACACAUGCAAGUCGAACGAGACCUUCGGGCCUAGUGGCGCACGGGUGCGUAACGCGUGGGAACCUGCCCUUAGGUUCGGAAUAACUCCUCGAAAGGGGUGCUAAUACCGGAUAAUGUCUUCGGACCAAAGAUUUAUCGCCUUUGGAUGGGCCCGCGUUGGAUUAGCUAGUUGGUAGGGUAAAAGCCUACCAAGGCGACGAUCCAUAGCUGGUCUGAGAGGAUGAUCAGCCACACUGGGACUGAGACACGGCCCAGACUCCUACGGGAGGCAGCAGUGGGGAAUAUUGGACAAUGGGCGAAAGCCUGAUCCAGCAAUGCCGCGUGAGUGAUGAAGGCCUUAGGGUUGUAAAGCUCUUUUACCCGGGAUGAUAAUGACAGUACCGGGAGAAUAAGCUCCGGCUAACUCCGUG